rfam:Otolemur garnettii contig167192, whole genome shotgun sequence.
GUCCAUGUGGCUCAAAGGAAUAGGGUGCUGGCCCCAUAUGCUGGAUGUGGCUGGUUCAAACCCAGCCCUGGCCA